UCGGUAUCUUUUCUCACUCUUUAUUUUUCUGGUUGGAUGACUGGUUCAUUGUUUCCGAUUUAAACAGCUCAUUUCCACAAAUUGGGCAUGUUGUUUUGCUCCUGAUGCUUAUGUUGUUCAUGUGAUGUCAUUAUUACUAUGGUGUUUCAUCAUUAAGCUGUAACCGCGUACGCGGGAUGUUCAUUAUAAUUUAUAUAACAAUGUGAUGAAUUUGUGAUCUAUAUAAACUUUUAAAACCA